AGGGACCCCGCACAAGCGGUGGAUCAUGUUGUUUAAUUCGAUGAUACGCGAAGAACCUUUACCAGGUCUUGACAUCCCAUGCAAAGCUAUAGAGAUAUAGUGGAGGUUUACCAUGGAGACAGGUGGUGCAUGGUUGUCGUCAGCUCGUGUCGUGAGAUGUUGGGUUAAGUCCCGCAACGAGCGCAACCCUUAUUGCUAGUUACCAUCAUUAAGUUGGGGACUCUAGCGAGACUGCCAGUGAUAAACUGGGAGAAGUGGGGAUGACGUCAAAUCAUCAUGCCCCUUAUGACCUGGGCUACACACGUGCUACAAUGGGCGGUACAAAGGGUCGCGAACCCGCGAGGGGGAGCCAAUCCCAAAAAGCCGCUCUCAGUUCGGAUUGCAGGCUGCAACUCGCCUGCAUGAAGCCGGAAUCGCUAGUAAUCGCGGAUCAGCAUGCCGCGGUCGAAUACGUUCCCGGGCCUU
rnacentral:rRNA from 1 species